GCACUUCGGGAUAAGCUUGGGAAACUGGGUCUAAUACCGGAUAGGACCAUUGUCUGCAUGGAUGGUGGUGGAAAGCUUUUGCGGUGUGGGAUGGGCCCGCGGCCUAUCAGCUUGUUGGUGGGGUGAUGGCCUACCAAGGCGACGACGGGUAGCCGGCCUGAGAGGGUGUCCGGCCACACUGGGACUGAGAUACGGCCCAGACUCCUACGGGAGGCAGCAGUGGGGAAUAUUGCACAAUGGGCGCAAGCCUGAUGCAGCGACGCCGCGUGGGGGAUGACGGCCUUCGGGUUGUAAACCUCUUUCAGCAUCGACGAAGCGCAAGUGACGGUAGAUGCAGAAGAAGCACCGGCCAACUACGUGCCAGCAGCCGCGGUAAUACGUAGGGUGCGAGCGUUGUCCGGAAUUACUGGGCGUAAAGAGCUCGUAGGUGGUUUGUCGCGUUGUUCGUGAAAACUCACAGCUUAACUGUGGGCGUGCGGGCGAUACGGGCAGACUGGAGUACUGCAGGGGAGACUGGAAUUCCUGGUGUAGCGGUGGAAUGCGCAGAUAUCAGGAGGAACACCGGUGGCGAAGGCGGGUCUCUGGGCAGUAACUGACGCUGAGGAGCGAAAGCGUGGGGAGCGAACAGGAUUAGAUACCCUGGUAGUCCACGCCGUAAACGGUGGGUACUAGGUGUGGGUUUCCUU
rnacentral:rRNA from 1 species